AUGCAAACUGGCAGAAGGCCACGGACACUGUGCCCGAAGGUCCGCAUCAAAAAGGAGUUAAAAAGAAAAAAAAAGAUGGGGUGGGGGUGGGGGGGGAUUUCCUUUUACCUUUUCUCUUCACGUGGUGUGAGGGUUUGGGAGUGGGCACUGGCGGGCGGGCGAGCUCGCUGGGAGGAACAGUUAUUGUGCCUACGGCCCGAGCUGACGCUCCUCACAGCCGCCACUUUCCUCGGACUCUCCGAAGUUGUGCCAUGUGCUGAGGGGCCGCGCUCUGCAGCUCCCCUGAAUUCGGCUCCCCGCCCGGCCCGGCCUGACAGAACGGAGAACGGCAGCGCGGCCCCACGCCCCCACACAAAGGCUUACGCCGCCGCCCGGCCGGUACGCAACUUUCCCUGCCCCGCGGCGAACAACGGCCGCCCGCCCCUCCCGCCUGACAGUGCCUUUCGCGCCGCUCCCCCGCAAAGUUUGCGGCCGGCCUCCUCGGGCCGGGAACGCCCGCCAGCCGCUGAGGGGCCGGGGGUAGGCGGGCGGCGAGGCGCGGGCCGGCCCCGCUGCGCGCCGUCCAACUUGGGGCGCCCCGUGACAGCCAUGUUGGGGUCAGCCCCCAGGCUCCCGCGAGGCUGGGCUCCGGGAGCGGGACGGAGCGCCCAGGGCACGGGCGGAGCAGAGCCCCGCGAACAAAGAACUUCUCGCCCCGCCGGAGCGGGGCGAGAGGAGAAAAGAAAAAGAGGGAGAAGCAGCCCCCGCCGCCCCGCGUCGGGACGACCUCCCGCCCCGUCCUGUCCCGUCCCCGCGCUAGCUCCGCACGGCCCGAGCCGAGAAGGAAAUAAAAACACCGCGCCGAGGGUGAAGAUCAGUGGGACAUAUUCUACAGCCCUUAUUCGGUUGCAUCUCUGUGUUUUACUGCCUAAGUCUGGGAGACAUCAGAGAGGAAGCUUCUUUCAGCCAGAAAAGAUGAAUAAAGACUUCAAAAAAUGGCCCUAUACUUGGUCUGCUAUCUUCUGAAAAUCUGUUUAGACUUGCGGUAACAAUAUGAAGCUGUAGCUUCUCCAGAUCCUGAGUUUCAAACAGCAUAGAUGAAAUGCAGAGGCAGACCAGCAGCAGCAGCUCUUCCUGUGUCCCAGGUAGCAAAAAAUCGAAACAGCCCCUGAUUCUGAAGGGAAGGAUGAGGACUGGCCUCUUUUCCAAGUGUGUAAAGAGAAGAACUUCGCAUGACCUGCACAUGGCAGCCAUGGACCCCUGGG
rnacentral:lncRNA from 1 species